AAACAACAUCGUUAGGACAUGUCCAUGGACUCCCUUUCGGUAGUAAGCUUUUGUUGCAUAUGUGAUCAACAGAUGAGAGAAGCCACCAUGCUAUGCCAUAGCAGACAGUUGAAGCAACUAUGGUUCCCACUAACUGAAGCUAAAAUAUCCCCGAAUAUCUUAGAAGUAUCUACUGUACCCCACCCCACUUGUAUUGCAUCUAAAUUCUUGGGAUAAUAGGAAUAACAGUAACGCAGAAGCAGGAGUAUAUGAUAAACUCAGUUGUUACCUUCAACAUUGAUAUCCAUUUCUAUCAAACUCAUUCAACUAUAAAGAUGGACUGAAUAAAAAUGCACAAGACACCUUCACUCUGGACCGCAUGCAGCUGAAAGUCUGCGUUGAACUUUAUAAUACGUAAUGCAAGUUUUUAUUUGUGACAAAACAUCUUUCUUCCAAUGUUCAAUCACGUCCAUUCUUGGGCCCGUAACUGGUAGGAAAAGUCAUUGCCACCUGCACGGGAAGACAAGUAUUUCCAGAAAAUGUGCCUCUGCCAUAUACAAAACAGGACAAAGACCUUGACCAGAGAUUAGUGGUGGAGAGCAGUCUUAAUUUUAAGACAAUGAUCCCAGUUCAGAAUAUAAUAUCUCCAUUGAAGGUGUCUUAAUCAAAUAUUACUAAAUCAGUUUAUAUGAAUAAGUUUAUAUAAUUUAUUUGUAUGUGUAGUAUUAUCAAUGAGAGUCUCUAAUUUCAAAUCAUGGAAAACAUGUAAACUGCUGAUAUUAAACCUUUCUUGUGGCUGAUUAUUCUGUAUUUCAGAUUUGGCAAAUUGUUCUGAAUAAGCUAUUUAUGUGAUGAACAUUUUAUCUGUUUAUACCA